rnacentral:rRNA from 1 species
AUUAGAUUAAAGACCAAUGCCCUCCGGGGCUCCUUGGUGAAUCAUAAUAACUUAUCGAAUCGCAUGGCCUUGCGCUGGCGAUGGUUCAUUCAAAUUUCUGCCCUAUCAACUUUCGAUGGUAGGAUAGUGGCCUACCAUGGUGGCAACGGGUAACGGGGAAUUAGGGUUCGAUUCCGGAGAGGGAGCCUGAGAAACGGCUACCACAUCUAAGGAAGGCAGCAGGCGCGCAAAUUACCCAAUCCCGAUACGGGGAGGUAGUGACAAUACAUACUGAUACAGGGCUCUUUUGGGUCUUGUAAUUGGAAUGAGUACAAUCUAAAUCCCUUAACGAGGAGCAAUUGGAGGGCAAGUCUGGUGCCAGCAGCCGCGGUAAUUCCAGCUCCAAUAGCGUAUAUUAAAGUUGUUGCAGUUAAAAAGCUCGUAGUUGAACCCUGGGUCUGGCUGGCCGGUCCGCCUCACCGCGUGCACUGGUCCGGCCGGAUCUUUCCUUCUGGGGAGCCCCAUGGCCUUUACUGGC